UACGUAGGGUGCAAGCGUUGUCCGGAUUUAUUGGGCGUAAAGAGCUCGUAGGCGGCUUGUCGCGUCGACUGUGAAAUCCCCGCGGCUCAACUGCGGGUCUGCAGUCGAUACGGGCAGGCUAGAGUUCGGUAGGGGGAGUCUGGAAUUCCUGGUGUAGCGGUGAAAAUGCGCAGAUAUCAGGAGGAACACCGGUGGCGAAGGCGGGUCUCUGGGCCGAUAUUGACGCUGAGGAGCGAAAGCGUGGGGAGCGAACAGG
rnacentral:rRNA from 1 species